GACGAACGCUGGCGGCGUGCCUAACACAUGCAAGUCGAACGGAGAUAUCCUUCGGGGUAUCUUAGUGGCGAACGGGUGAGUAACGCGUGGGUAACCUGCCCUUUUAUCGGGGAUAACUUGCCGAAAGGUGAGCUAAUACCGGAUGUCCUAUUUUGAUCACCUGAUUAAGAUAGCAAAGGUGGCCUCUUUAAAUGCUACCGUAAAAGGAUGGACCCGCGUCUGAUUAGCUAGUUGGUGAGGUAACGGCUCACCAAGGCGACGAUCAGUAGCCGGCCUGAGAGGGUGAACGGCCACACUGGGACUGAGACACGGCCCAGACUCCUACGGGAGGCAGCCGUGGGGAAUCUUCCGCAAUGGACGAAAGUCUGACGGAGCAACGCCGCGUGAGUGAUGAAGGUCUUCGGAUUGUAAAACUCUGUUUUUUGGGACGAACGGCUCAUAUGUGAACAAUGUAUGAGAUUGACGGUACCAAGGGAGGAAGCCCCGGCUAACUACGUGCCAGCAGCCGCCGUAA
rnacentral:rRNA from 1 species